GUACACUCCUACGGGAGGCAGCAGUGGGGAAUUUUGGACAAUGGGCGAAAGCCUGAUCCAGCAAUGCCGCGUGAGUGAAGAAGGCCUUCGGGUUGUAAAGCUCUUUUGUCAGGGAAGAAACGGUGAAAGCUAAUAUCUUUUGCUAAUGACGGUACCUGAAGAAUAAGCACCGGCUAACUACGUGCCAGCAGCCGCGGUAAUACGUAGGGUGCAAGCGUUAAUCGGAAUUACUGGGCGUAAAGCGUGCGCAGGCGGUUUUGUAAGUCUGAUGUGAAAUCCCCGGGCUCAACCUGGGAAUUGCAUUGGAGACUGCAAGGCUAGAAUCUGGCAGAGGGGGGUAGAAUUCCACGUGUAGCAGUGAAAUGCGUAGAUAUGUGGAGGAACACCGAUGGCGAAGGCAGCCCCCUGGGUCAAGAUUGACGCUCAUGCACGAAAGCGUGGGGAGCAAACAGGAUUAGAAACCCGGGUAGUCCCAUG
rnacentral:rRNA from 1 species